GAUGAACGCUAGCGGCAGGCCUAAUACAUGCAAGUCGAACGGGAUCUGAGGGUAGCUUGCUACCCGAUUUGAGAGUGGCGCACGGGUGCGUAACGCGUGAGCAACCUACCCAUAUCAGGGGGAUAGCCCGAAGAAAUUCGGAUUAACACCGCAUAAUAAUACGCUAACACAUGUUGAUGUAUUUAAAUAUUUAUAGGAUAUGGAUGGGCUCGCGUGACAUUAGCUAGUUGGUAAGGUAACGGCUUACCAAGGCGACGAUGUCUAGGGGCUCUGAGAGGAGAAUCCCCCACACUGGUACUGAGACACGGACCAGACUCCUACGGGAGGCAGCAGUAAGGAAUAUUGGUCAAUGGGCGCAAGCCUGAACCAGCCAUGCCGCGUGCAGGAUGACUGCCCUAUGGGUUGUAAACUGCUUUUGUUAGGGAAUAAACCUUCUUACGUGUAAGGAGCUGAAUGUACCUAAAGAAUAAGGAUCGGCUAACUCCGUGCCAGCCACCGCAGUAA
rnacentral:rRNA from 1 species